UACGUAGGGUGCGAGCGUUUGUCCGGAAUUAUUGGGCGUAAAGGGCUCGUAGGCGGUUUGUCGCGUCGGGAGUGAAAACACCGGGCUUAACUCGGUGCUUGCUUUCGAUACGGGCAGACUAGAGGUAUGCAGGGGAGAACGGAAUUCCUGGUGUAGCGGUGAAAUGCGCAGAUAUCAGGAGGAACACCGGUGGCGAAGGCGGUUCUCUGGGCAUUACCUGACGCUGAGGAGCGAAAGUGUGGGGGAGCGAACAGG
rnacentral:rRNA from 1 species